AUUGAACGCUGGCGGCAUGCCUUACACAUGCAAGUCGAACGGCAGCACGGGUGCUUGCACCUGGUGGCGAGUGGCGAACGGGUGAGUAAUACAUUGGAACGUACCUUAUCGUGGGGGAUAACGCAGCGAAAGUUGCGCUAAUACCGCAUACGCCCUGAGGGGGAAAGCGGGGGACCGUAAGGCCUCGCGCGAUUAGAGCGGCCGAUGUCUGAUUAGCUUGUUGGUGAGGUAAAAGCUCACCAAGGCGAUGAUCAGUAGCUGGUCUGAGAGGAAGAUCAGCCACACUGGGACUGGGACACGGCCCAGACUCCUACGGGAGGCAGCAGUGGGGAAUUUUGGACAAUGGGGGCAACCCUGAUCCAGCAAUGCCGCGUGAGUGAAGAAGGCCUUCGGGUUGUAAAGCUCUUUUGUCAGGGAAGAAACAGCAGCUCUAACACAGUCUGCGAAUGACGGUACCUGAAGAAUAAGCACCGGCUAACUACGUGCCAGCAGCCGCAGUAA
rnacentral:rRNA from 1 species